AAGAAAUGCACCAAAGAACUUCUGGUAAUGUUCUGGUGGCUUCUUGCUGCUUCCACAGACUUGGACCAAUUGGCAAAGGCUCUCAGUUUCUUGUGGAUCAAACUGCUGUUUUGAUUCUUGAAUGGAGUUUGUGAGUGGAUGGAGCUGCUGCUACUGAUUCCUGGGAAGUGAACUGCUGAUACCCGGACAAUGCAGAUUAUGUGAGCUCCAAAGAACUACUUCUAAAGAGAAUAAACUGGGCUGACAAGAUGGAUAAGUAGGGACACGGAGCCUGAAGACCUGAGUUCAAUCCCUGGGACCCACAGAGUAGAAGGGGAGAAUUAUGAGAGUUGCCUUCCAGCAUCCAAACAUGCUGCUUGGCAUGUGUACACCACUUCCUACCACACACAUGAAGUAAAAAGAAACAGGACAGAUUUUCUCUAAAAGGAGAAACCCUCCUAUGCUACAGUCCAAUGGAUAGCUUCAGACUUGCUCUGAGGUGGCUUAAUUUCCUGACAUCAGAAUUCCAGAUCACACUGGUUCUCUGCCAUUAAUGCUUCUGUCUGACUCUCUAAAAUCUUGUAAUUAUAAUUACAUUUUCAUGUAAACACUUGCCUUUCCACACACAAUCCCCUGGCAGCUGUCCAACUGUGUCUAUGAUUGCUGUUGGUUUCAGGGUCUUCUGUUUCAGUAGGAUCCCUGUGGCACUGGGAGUGGAGAAAGGACCUGUGUCCUAUAUUUUCAGGAGACACAUACGAUAACAAUCCUAAUUCAAGGAGAGGUAAACUGGGGUACAUAGAAUUACAGAAUUAUAGACUGAUAGUCAACUCAAACAUAGCUACACCUAAGAACUUGCUGCCAGUAGAAAUGUCUCUGUGGACUGCCACACCCGGGGAUCCAUCCCAUAAUCAGCCUCUAAACGCUGACACCAUUGCAUACACCAGCAAGAUUUUGCUGAAAGGACCCUGAUAUAGCUGUCUCUUGUGAGGCUAUGCCUGGGCCUGGGCAAACACAAAAGUGGAUGCU
rnacentral:lncRNA from 1 species